rnacentral:lncRNA from 1 species
AACAUCAAAGUGCUCAAAAUCAAAGUUUUCAAACUUUGGAAAAAACCGAAAAUAUGGUCUGACAAGCCAAUGUCAGCCCCCAUAGAUUCGUGUGUGUUUAGUGUUUUUGAUGUUUAAAACUUGUAACAUGUAGCCUGAUAUGUGGUCUUUAGGAUGAAAAAAGAAUCAAAGCUAGAGCUAUUAUAGAUCACAAGAUACAAGCGGUCAAACAUGAUUGACUAAACUGCCAAAAACCGCGAACCCAUAAAUUCUUGAACAGUUGUUCGUGGUCUACUUUGACCAACAAUUUCCGGUUAGAUCUGAUGUUUUUAUGAUGAUGUUAAGUGUUAUAGUUGUAGUGCUACAUGUUGUCUACACACUGGAAUUGAUAGAUCACAUAAACGUUACACGAUCAUCAAGUUAUAGAGGUCCAAAGGAGGUACCUCGAACUGUUCUUCACGAAGAACAUCUCUGACA